GACGAACGCUGGCGGCGUGCUUAACACAUGCAAGUCGAACGGAAAGGCCCUGCUUGCAGGGUACUCGAGUGGCGAACGGGUGAGUAACACGUGGGUGAUCUGCCCUGCACUUCGGGAUAAGCCUGGGAAACUGGGUCUAAUACCGGAUAGGAGCCAUUUUUAGUGUGAUGGUUGGAAAGUUUUUUCGGUGUAGGAUGAGCUCGCGGCCUAUCAGCUUGUUGGUGGGGUAAUGGCCUACCAAGGCGGCGACGGGUAGCCGGCCUGAGAGGGUGGACGGGCACAUUGGGACUGAGAGACGGCCCAGACUCCUACGGGAGGCAGAAGUGGGGAAUAUUGCACAAUGGGCGCAAGCCUGAUGCAGCGACGCCGCGUGGGGGAUGACGGCCUUCGGGUUGUAAACUCCUUUCGCUAGGGACGAAGCUUUUUGUGACGGUACCUAGAUAAGAAGCACCGGCUAACUACGUG
rnacentral:rRNA from 1 species